GCUUACGGCCAUACCACUCUGAACAUGCCCGAUCUCGUCCGAUCUCGGAAGCUAAGCAGAGUUGGGCCUGGUUAGUACUUGGAUGGGAGACCGCCUGGGAAUACCAGGUGCUGUAAGCU
rnacentral:rRNA from 1 species